rnacentral:lncRNA from 10 species
UGCCUCCCACGUUCAAGCGAUUUUCCUGCCUCAGCCUCCCGAGCAGCUGGGAUUACAGGCACGCACCGCAAUGCCCAGAGUGAGAGUUUCGACCAGGAGUGGAUACUGAGGAGAGCAAAGAUCACCUGGUGCUCAUCAAGCCGGACUUCCAGAGGCAAAGCUCCUUAACUGAAGAAUUCAGAAUCUAUCAUUGAUGGGCAUUUAGGUUGGUUCCAUGUCUUUGCUAUUGUGAAUAGUACUGCAAUGAACAUAUGCACGUAUGUCUUUGAGGAAUCACCACCAUGGAAUACUAUGCAGCCAUAAAAAAGAAAGAUAACAUGUCCUUCACAGGGACAUAGAUGGAGCUGGAGGCCAUUCUCCUUAGCAAACUAAACUAUGUAACAAACCUAUACUUGUACCCCAGAACUUAAAAUAAAAGUUUAAAAAAGCCCUUUCCUUUUCAAAUCUAUACUGUUGUUGGUAAAUUCUUCUUACUACCCAUGAGUAAAUCACUUUUUGUUGCCUGAGAUCUGACACCUCACCCAGCAGGCACCUACCAUUUUUACUCCCCAUUUACCUGUCUAAGCAGGAAUUGGUGACUUAACAAAUUUGGAGGAAGAUUUUAGCAGAAAGAGAAUUUGAUCAGAGCCUAGUGACUCUAACUAACAGACCUAUUAGUAGGCAGUCAAGGUUCUCCAGAGAAAUAGAAGCAGUAGGACAUGGGGCAGGGAAAAGGAGAGAGAGAGAGAGAAAGAAAAAGAGAGAGAAAGGUACCAAGGAAUUGGCUCAUGUGUUAGGGGCUGGCCAAGCAAAUCUGAAAUCUGCAGGGCAGGCUGUCAGAAAGGGCAGGCAAGAAACUCUAAGGGCCGAGAGCUGUGGUCCACAGGUAGAAUUUCUUCUUCUCCGGGAAACCUCUUUCUAGUGUGGCAGCAAAUAAUGACUAAAUGGAUUUUGUGGCUAAGGCAGCACAGAGAUAUAGAAAAAGUUCAACAGGUAUUAUUAAAAGGCAUUUAAUCUCUAGGCAACUCAGCUAGAUGAAAUGCAAUGAAAGAGUCGCUGCUUUUUUCAGGAGAGAUACAUGAGGCAUCUUUACCUAAUAAACACCAUUUGUUAUAUUGAAGCUUUAGGGCCGAAGCCAAUG